UAAAGUUUAAUUCUAACUUAAAAAUUUAUUUAAUUUUUUUUUUACAUGUAAAUUUUUGUAUGAAUAAUAAUUAAAUUUUAAUAAUUUAGUUAAAAUAGUUUAUUCGCAGUAUUUAGUUUUAAUAAUUUAAGAAAUUAAGAAUUAGAAAUAUAUUUUAAUAUUAACAAAUUUUGUGCCAGCAGUUGCGGUUAUACAAAAAAUAUAAAUAAAUUUUAUUGGUAAAUAAUUAUAAUGAUUAUUUAAUAUAAAUUAAGAUUAUAUAUAUUAGGUGAAAUUUUAUUUAUUAAAUUAGUUUAUAAUAAAGAUUUAAUUAUUAUGAAAUUUAUAUUUAAACUAGGAUUAGAUACCCUAUUAUUUUAAAUGUAAAUUAAUUUUACUAAAGUAGUAUUAGUUAUGUUCUUGAAAUUUAAAGAUUUUGGCGGUAUUUUAGUCUAUUUAGAGGAACCUGUUCUGUAAUUGAUAGUCCACGAUUUACUUUACUUAUUUUAAAAAUUUGUAUACCGUCGUUAUAAGAAAAUUUUAUUAGAAUUUAAUUUUUAAUAUUUUAAAUAAAAAAAUAUAUCAGAUCAAGGUGCAGUUUAUAUUUAAGAAGAAAUGGGUUACAAUAAAUUUAUUUAUAUGGAUUAAAAUUAGAAUUUAAUUUUAUAAAGGUGGAUUUAAAAGUAAUAAAAUUUAAAUAAAUUUUAUGAUUUUAGCUCUAAAAUAUGUACAUAUCGCCCGUCACUCUUAUUUUUAAGAUAAGAUAAGUCGUAACAUAGUAGAUGUACUGGAAAGUGUAUCUAGAAUGUCA
rnacentral:ncRNA from 1 species